CGGGUGGUUGUGGUGGGUUUAGUUGUAGGUGGGUGGUGGGUGGCUGUGGUGUUAAGGUCGGUUGCAGGUGGGUGGUCGGAGAAUCGAUGCCGGAGAAUCGAUGUAAAGGUCGGUUGCAGGUUUGUUUUUGGGGAUUAAGGUGGGUGGUCGGAGAAUCGAUGCCGGAUAUGUUUGGUAACUUUUCGUUUGUCUUGCUGUUCAAGUGGAUUGUUUCGUUUCUGUUUUGGAGGAGAGCAAGUCAAAGCAAAUAGGCAGAUACAUGUUUGCUAUGUCUGACCAGAAAUUGCUGGCUUGUAAGGUUUUCUUGAACAUAGCUCGAUGCAUGAAUGUAAUGUGGUGGCGGUGGCGGU